UGGUAAGUUAUAGUUAUAAAUAUCUUUGUCUAAAUUCAUAAUUCAUAGGAACACACUGCCUAUAUAGCUCAAAGUAGGGUUGAAACAAAUACAGCACUAGUUGGCAGUAAAAUAUUUUUUAUUUAACUAAACUAAUGUUUUUAGUGGCUUUCUACUACCCUCUUCAGGCUAUAUAUUUCUAGAACAAUUUAAACAAAAGAACAUUCAGUUAUUGCUAUAGAAACAAGAUUAAAAUAAAACCAAACAAAACAUAAAAGGUUUUGCUAAGAUACUACUUUUUUAGAUAACAUUAGACUAAACAUAUGCAUAAAAUAUUUAAAAAUUAAAAACAAAGGGUAAAAUAUUAAACAAAAUGGCAAUAUAAUAAAAUAACAGGAACUAAAGUCCUUAAAUUGACGAGGUAAUCAUUCCUCUCAUAGGUGCAGCACUUAAGCAAGGUUAGGUUACGUCAGCAUGGUCUGGCAGGUACCAUUGAAUUUUAAUGAGGUCCUCAUUUUUUUACAUAGGACUUAUUCUGAUGCCUUUGGAAUGCAGUGAGUGUAGUGUCUAUCUUAGAGUUCUCUUUAGAUUUUUGCAAUAGGUAUUUCCAUGCUUGUGGCACUUGGGACACUGGGUGGUUGUGAGGAGGAGCUCUGUGUCAUGCCUCUUUAGUAUUUCUAUAGUUUCCAUAUUAAAGUCCUGAGAUUUAUUAUUGACCAGUUUUAUGACUUUCGCCUGAUCCCAGUGUAUAGUCAGAUCAGUAGCAUAAGCAUUUGUUACCAGUGCCAUUUUUAAUCUGGCUUUCAUUAUAUCAUUUUUGUACUCGUUUAUAUGCUGGGCCAGGGUCCUGUUGGUGACUCCAAUAUAAGCUGUUUGCUCAUUAGUUUCAUGGUUGGUUACUGGCAUUCUAUAGACCCCCAUUUUUUCAUGGUCAUCCUUAGGGUCCUUUUUGUUCCUAAGCCUGUUGUAAACUAUGGGAGCUCUAGUAACAGUUAUUCUCUUGUCCAUUUUUUUGGCUAUUUUCUUCAUGAGGGAUAUGUUGUUGAAGGGAUGUGGGACUGGUAUAUGGAUUGAUCUUGCUGGUGUUGGGUCUUCAUCUGCACGUUGGCUGUCCAGCCUUCUUUUUGCAGAGUCAUGGAUGCGGUUUGGGAGGGUGUUACCAUAUCUGUGUUGGUACCCUAUAUUAUAG
rnacentral:lncRNA from 1 species